UGGUGUUACUGGAGGAGAUCAGAUCAGAUGCUGGUGUUACUGGGGGAGAUCAGAUCAGAUGCUGGUGUUACUGGAGGAGAUCAGAUCAGAUGCUGGUGUUACUGGGGGAGAUCAGAUCAGAUGCUGGUGUUACUGGAGGAGAUCAGAUCAGAUGCUGGUGUUACUGGGGGAGAUCAGAUCAGAUGCUGGUGUUACUGGAGGAGAUCAGAUCAGAUGCUGGUGUUACUGGGGGAGAUCAGAUCAGAUGCUGGUGUUACUGGGUGAGAUCAGAUCAGAUGCUGGUGUUACUGGGGGAGAUCAGAUCAGAUGCUGGUGUUACUGGGGGAGAUCAGAUCAGAUGCUGGUGUUAC